AACGCGAAGAACCUUACCAGCCCUUGACAUGUCCGGCUAUCCAGAGAGAUUUGGAGUUCCCUUCGGGGACCGGAGCACAGGUGCUGCAUGGCUGUCGUCAGCUCGUGUCGUGAGAUGUUGGGUUAAGUCCCGCAACGAGCGCAACCCUCGCCCUUAGUUGCCAGCAUUUAGUUGGGCACUCUAAGGGGACUGCCGGUGAUAAGCCGAGAGGAAGGUGGGGAUGACGUCAAGUCCUCAUGGCCCUUACGGGCUGGGCUACACACGUGCUACAAUGGUGGUGACAGUGGGCAGCGAGACCGCGAGGUCGAGCUAAUCUCCAAAAGCCAUCUCAGUUCGGAUUGCACUCUGCAACUCGAGUGCAUGAAGUUGGAAUCGCUAGUAA
rnacentral:rRNA from 1 species